AGACGGAGCUCGCGGUGAGGAGGCAUGGAUGAACCCACUUAUGGGACUUAGCAAAAGCAAAGGCUCCUCAGGUAAGUCCAGCUCUUCAAUUCGGAAAACCAAGAGUAAGAGUCAGGACAGACAUGCGGACAGGUCAACAAGCAGCCGGCCUAGCUCUAGUUCCAAUACUUCCAGCAUUCAUGGAUCUAUAAAAACAAGUUUGAAAUCUCCACGGAGUAUUAGUGAAACUGGUAGGCAACAUCUAAAAGGGGGUCUCUUCAAGAAGGAUAUGGCUAGGGUGGAAGGCAUAUCUUUUGGAUUUAAUUUCAACAAAUAUUGUAAAGCAACUAAGAUGGAAAGCUUUGGGACACAUAUGACCCUGACCCUGUUUUCAAGGGCUAUACAAUCUAAGUAAUGUAUGGGGUGGUAGGAGAAGACAUUUAUGCAGAUCAUCUUAAUAUAAAAGGAGUGUGAUGAAGAGUACAAAGGAGAUCUCUGGACAAUGUGCUAAAAGAAUUUUGAGGAGACAUAUUUAGGUUGCUUUUUACCGGAAAGAUUUGGGGAGGUUUCACAGAAGAGGUAGCUUAUUAGAAUUGAUCCUUGAAAGGGAAGUGGGGAAAUAAACGUUUACAUAGCACCA
rnacentral:lncRNA from 1 species